rnacentral:rRNA from 1 species
GACAGAGGGUGCAAACGUUGUUCGGAAUUACUGGGCGUAAAGCGCGUGUAGGCGGCACGGCAAGUCGGAUGUGAAAGCCCGCGGCUCAACCGUGGAAGUGCACUCGAAACUGCCGAGCUAGAGCCUCGGAGAGGAAGGUGGAAUGCUUGGUGUAGAGGUGAAAUUCGUAGAUAUCAAGCAGAACACCUGUGGCGAAGGCGGCCUUCUGGACGAUGACUGACGCUGAGACGCGAAAGCGUGGGGAGCAAACAGG